UGGCCUUCCACCACUCCCAAAUUCCAAUUUCUCUAGCAUUCAUUUUCUACUCUCAACGUCAAAAUUCAGCAUAAGACUAUCAAAGAAUUGAGUUGAAGAUUUGAAGAAAAAAAUUCUAAGAGGCAAAAGAUGGAAGAAUAUGAGGCUGCUGGUAUAAGGUCUUGAUGUUUUCGUGAAGACCACAAAUAAAUGAGGCUGAUAAUAACUAGCAAGGCUAUUCCUUGAAGUAAAUACAUCACAUGAUAGUACCAAGCAAGCAGUUGGUAUGUAGUAGACACAUUAUUUUUCUGUUGUUUUGUGUAAUAAGUUUUUAUUAACUAUGCCUCUGAAAUUGAAGAUAAAUUUUGAUCAAAUGCUAGCUUGAUCUAAAGUUUGUUUGAGCAUGGGACAUGUCAUUACUGGUGACCACCACAAGAGAUAAAUUUUCUUACUUGAUUAUCUUAAAAC